UGUAGAUGUAGUGAUUUCCCCUACAAUGACAUUCUUUUGACCUGGCACCCAACAACUACGUAGUGUAGAUGUAGUGAUUGUAUAAGUUAGUGAACUGUUAUAAGCUGUUGUAACCAAUGUAGAUGUAUUGAUUAUAUAAGUUAGUGAACUGUUAUAAGCUGUUGUAACCAAUGAAACAAAAGGAGCAAGUAGGAGAAUAGGAAACCCUGUUUAAGCAGUUGCCGGGGAGAGAAAGAUUUAGUAUGUCUGUUUUGUGAGAAACAGGUCACAGGUCAGAGACACACACACAUAGUCGGACAGACAAGACAGAAACCAGAAAGGGGGGCAAGGGGAUACUUGCAGUUAUCCUAUAAGGAAUAAAACUGGGAUUGGGCCAAUGGCACACACUUUGUAAGUUAACGCCUCUAUCUUUUUGGGCGUAGUAGAAGUAUAAAAAUGAUGUUUUGACUGUUGAUCCUUAGACAUUGUGCGGCGACACGUGUCUCCAGAAGCUUCUGUAAUAAAUGGACGUAUAACUACGGUAAUUGCCCUGACUCCCUGUGUUUUAUUCUCCUUUCCAACAAACCAACUCGGGGAAGUGUUAGACUUCAACAAUUUGGGGGCUCGUCCGGGAUUGGAAAGAGGAGAAGGAAUUCGAUCUUGUCCAGACAACCUACGCGAGAUUCACAGGUUCCGAGCCGGCUCAUGAUAAAGGUAAGCAGAGCCUGUUAUAUCUAAAUCUGCAUAUUGGCUAUGAACUAAAUUUUGAACCUGUGGAAAACGUAUUGGGAGACUGGUUUAAAUUCAGGGGGUCAGGGGAACGGUCUGUGAGUUAGAGUCUCACUAUAAGUCGGGUUAGAGGCCCGUUACCGGUGUGUGAGUUAGAGUCUCACUGUAAGUCGGGUUAGAGGCCCGCUACCGGUGUGUGAGUUAGAGUCUCACUCUAAGUCGGGUUAGAGGCCCGUUAAUCGUUCUAGGGUUGACUACCCUACGCCACUUCCCGACGGGGACGGUGGAGAGUUGCGAGUUAGAGUCUCGGCAACCAGUCGGGUUAGAGUCCCGAGGACUUAGGGGCACCUCGAAGUACUUAUUGUGUGUAAAGGUUCAUCUGGGUUAGAGUCCCGGGGAGUUUUAGAACUCCCCAAAUUCUGUAUCUGGGUUAGAGUCCCGGGGAGUUUUAGAACUCCCCAAAUUCUGUAUCUGGGUUAGAGUCCCGGGGAGUUUUAGAACUCCCCAAAUUCUGUAUCUGGGUUAGAGUCCCGGGGAGUUUUAUAACUCCCCAAAUUCUGUAUCUGGGUUAGAGUCCCGGGGAGGUUUAGAACUCCCCAAAUUCUGUAUUGGGUUAGAGUCCCGGGGAGUUUUAGAACUCCCCAAAUUCUGUGUCUGGGUUAGAGUCCCGGGGAGUUUUAUAACUCCCCAAAUUCUGUAUUGGGUUAGAGUCCCGGGGAGUUUUAUAACUCCCCAAAUUCUGUAUCUGGGUUAGAGUCCCGGGGAGUUUUAUAACUCCCCAAAUUCUGUGUCUGGGUUAGAGUCCCGGGGAGUUUUAUAACUCCCCAAAUUCUGUAUCUGGGUUAGAGUCCCGGGGAGUUUUAUAACUCCCCAAAUUCUGUAUCUGGGUUAGAGUCCAGGGGAGUUUUAGAACUCCCCAGAUUCUGUAUCUGGGUUAGAGUCCCGGGGAGGUUUAGAACUCCCCAAAUUCUGUAUCUGGGUUGGAGUCCCGGGGAGUUUUAGAGCUCCCCAAAUUCUGUAUAAGAGAACUGGGUUCAAGUCCCAAAAAGUGUUGGGUCAGGUACCCGUUAAUCAUUUGUUAAUUAUUCUGAGUCUGGGACUCACAGUAACGUAAGUCAGGUUGAAAUGGACGGGGAGUGUGAGAGAAGUUGAUGACGAUGGGCGGUGUCCAGGCACGGGAAAGUGGAAACAAUUGGGGAUACAGGUGGCAAAUGUAAUGACUGUUGUAGGCAGGAUGGACCCAAUUCAGAAAGAAAAAGAAGGGAUAGAAGAGAAAUUGCGACAAGUGGUGAGUGAGGCAGGAUUAAGGAUGGAGGAAAGGAGACCAUUACAUGUUAUUUUGUGGAAUAAGGAGAAGGAGUGUUCUAAAAAUCGAGAUAGAGUUAGAGACAAGAAGGAAACAGCCAAUUUGGUCAAGAGAGGGAGAUAUAGAGAAAAGGAGAAGGAAUGAGAAAAGCACAGAAAAGAAUGGUGUAAAUUAGCAGUGUGGUGUCAGGGCGUAGACCAUUUGAACAAAGAGAAAAAGGGACAGAAAAUUAAGGAG
ensembl:lncRNA